rnacentral:rRNA from 1 species
GCUUAGCCUUAAGCCUUCAAUUACACCCCCAAACGCCAGGGAACUACGAGCAAAGCUUAAAACCCAAGGGACUUGACGGUACCCCACAUCCCCCUAGAGGAGCCUGUCCUUUAAUCGAUAACCCCCGUUCAACCUCACCAUCUUUAGCUUAUCAGUCUGUAUACCUCCGUCGUCAGUUUACCGCAUGAGUGUCUUAAAGUAAACCGAAUGUCCUCACCCGUCAACACGUCAGGUCAAGGUGCAGCUAACAAGAUGGGAAGAGAUGGGCUACACUCUCUAGUAUAGAGCACACAGAGAAUUUAUAUGAAACCCAAUUCAAAGGCGGAUUUAGCAGUAACAGGGGUAAUAGCGCCCCUUUUAAGCAGGCCCUGGGGUGUGUACACACCGCCCGUCACCCUCCUCGCAGCUCUCGAAAAAGUAUUUUACAUAACCCAGCAUUGUAGAGGAGGUAAGUCGUAACAUGGUAAGUGCACCGGAAGGUGCGCUUGGAAA